rnacentral:rRNA from 1 species
GACGAACGCUGGCGGCGUGCUUAACACAUGCAAGUCGAACGGAAAGGCCCUGCUUUUGUGGGGUGCUCGAGUGGCGAACGGGUGAGUAACACGUGAGUAACCUGCCCUUGACUUUGGGAUAAAUUCAGGAAACUGGGGCUAAUACCGGAUAGGAGCUCCUGCUGCAUGGUGGGGGUUGGAAAGUUUCGGCGGUUGGGGAUGGACUCGCGGCUUAUCAGCUUGUUGGUGGGGUAGUGGCUUACGAAGGCUUUGACGGGUAGCCGGCCUGAGAGGGUGACCGGCCACAUUGGGACUGAGAUACGGCCCAGACUCCUACGGGAGGCAGCAGUGGGGAAUAUUGCACAAUGGGCGGAAGCCUGAUGCAGCAACGCCGCGUGCGGGAUGACGGCCUUCGGGUUGUAAACCGCUUUCGCCUGUGACGAAGCGUGAGUGACGGUAAUGGGUAAAGAAGCACCGGCUAACUACGUG